rnacentral:tRNA from 1 species
CAAAGAAUAGUUUAGUAAGAAUUCUGGCUUUGGGAGUCGGGGGUAGGAGUUAAAAUCUCUUUUCUUUGA